rnacentral:rRNA from 1 species
UACGGAGAGGGCAAGCGUUGUUCGGAAUUACUGGGCGUAAAGGGCGCGUAGGCGGCCAGUUGCGUCGGGUGUGAAAGCCCCGGGCUCAACCUGGGAGGUGCACUUGAUACGGGCUGGCUGGAAUCCGGGAGAGGAUGGUGGAAUUCCCAGUGUAGAGGUGAAAUUCGUAGAUAUUGGGAAGAACACCGAUGGCGAAGGUAGCCAUCGGGACCGGGACUGACUCUGAGGCGCGAAAGCGUGGGGAGCAAACAGG